CAGGUCAGCCCGGGGCGCUUGGGGAGCGCCCGGGACGGGGAGCACGUCCUGCCUCCAUUCCUGUGGCGACCUUGGAAUCAAUCCAGAAAGGCAACUUGGUCUCCCAGCCUGCCCAGGAAGUCUUCCUUCAGGCCAGCCAGCUUUUCUAGAAGGUUCUCCAGGGAGUCAGUCCCAGGGCUCUGCCUCUGGAGUCUCUGCGCUUCCCUCACUUGCCUCUAGAUGGAAGAUUUCCUCACCUGGUGCCCAACAGGCUCCCCCUGCGGCCACAUCCAGCAAACCUGUGGAUGCUAGAAUUCUCAGAACCAAAUGCAGCCCUUAUCUUCUGCCGCAAAGCGUGACAGGCUUGUGUGUGGCUGGUGAGUGGACACAGCCAGGUCCGGCUGGCUCAGACGAGGGGGCAACCCAUCAGUCCCUUGGUGGUGGUGGUGCGCCUCCUUUCACCCCCUGGCAUGUCCACUCAAGCAGAGGCACCUCGAGCUCAGGUCAUUCACAUAUUCAUUCAUUUCUGCAGUUAUCAAGCAUCAUUUGCUAUGUCCGUUUUUGGGGACAGAGAGGAGGACACAGGGUCCCUGCCUGAGUCUAGAGGAGGAGACAGGAAAUAGAUGUGACCAUGCAGGGUGGUAAGUACUCCGAGGAGAAUUGUUUUCUUCCUCUGAGCCCUACUUUUCUGUCUGGCUUCUCUGACAGAGUCAGUGGCAUCAUUACCACCCAUCUGCUCAACCCGAAAAUGCAGAGUCAUCUCCAUGCCUCCCCCACUCAGCCCCAUCUCCUUUUCAGCCAC
ensembl:lncRNA